rnacentral:rRNA from 1 species
CUCCCUUCGGGGAGUGCAUAAAGUGGCGCACGGGUGAGUAACACGUAAGUAAUCUACCCUCGGGUGGGGAAUAACGUUCGGAAACGGACGCUAAUACCGCAUAAUGCAGCGGCACCGCAAGGUGACAGUUGUUAAAGAUUUAUUGCCUGGGGAGGAGCUUGCGGCAGAUUAGCUUGUUGGUAAGGUAACGGCUUACCAAGGCGACGAUCUGUAUCCGGUCUAAGAGGACGGUCGGACACACUGACACUGAAUAACGGGUCAGACUCCUACGGGAGGCAGCAGUCGGGAAUUUUGGGCAAUGGGGGAAACCCUGACCCAGCAACGCCGCGUGAAGGAUGAAGUAUUUCGGUAUGUAAACUUCGAAAGAAUAGGAAGAAUUAAUGACGGUACUAUUUAUAAGGUCCGGCUAACUACGUGCCAGCAGCCGCGGUAAUACGUAGGGACCAAGCGUUGUUCGGAUUUACUGGGCGUAAAGGGCGCGUAGGCGGCGCGGUAAGUCACUUGUGAAAUCUCUGAGCUUAACUCAGAACGGCCAAGUGAUACUGCAGUGCUAGAGUGUGGAAGGGGCAAUCGGAAUUCUUGGUGUAGCGGUGAAAUGCGUAGAUAUCAAGAGGAACACCUGAGGUGAAGACGGGUUGCUGGGCCAAC